AAUGGCCAUCGCUCAACGGAUAAAAGCUACUCUGGGGAUAACAGGCUGAUACUGCCCAAGAGUUCACAUCGACGGCAGUGUUUGGCACCUCGAUGUCGGCUCAUCUCAUCCUCGAGCUGAAGCAGGUUCGAAGGGUUCGGCUGUUCGCCGAUUAAAGAGAUACGUGAGUUGGGUUCAAACCGUCGCGAGACAGGCUGGUCCCUAUCUAUUGUGCCCGCAGGAAGAUUGAAA
rnacentral:rRNA from 1 species